CUACCUAAUUUUGUGGUUUUAAUCAUGUUUUGCAAGUAUUAGGUGUGAAGAAACAAUUUGGAGAAAAUGCUCUUAAAAAUGCCAAAAGAAGCCAAAACUAGAGAAGCAACCUUCGGAGGCAACUUUCGGAAGCCAAAAAUCAGUCACCUUCGACGGCAACCUUCAGCGGCCGAAAGAGGACUCCAGAGACGAAAGUUGACCACCUUCGGCGGCACCUUUGGCCGCCGAACCUUGUGUCCAGAGCCGAAAGUCCAGCCUCCGAAACUCACUUUAGGCAGCCGAAAAUGCACUCCAAUGUACACUUUCCUUAUUCAAGAAGCCAUAUCCCAAGUUGCCAUAUUUGAGGAGCCAAACAAGGGAAGUGUUUUGAGAUCCAAAUCUUUAAGAUUCACAUUCAAAUAUUGGAUUUCAAGAUCAAGCUUAUUAAGGAAGCCAAAUCCAAAGAUCACCUGUUUCCCACUUAGUAUCAUGCACAUUCAAAAUUCAAAAGGAGGCUCCACCUUCCUUAUUAGUGCUUGGGCAGCCUCUUAACUCUUUAGGCAACAUCUUGAAGACCUUGGGCAGCAAUUAAAAAGACCAAAGAGCCCCCACUUGCCCCCCAUCACAUGCAUGUCGUUUUUGCCUUCACCCAUGCACAAAGAAGGCACAUAUGGGACCAAGGGCACUUUGGACAGCCUCAAAAAGACUCAUGGACUGCCACCAAACCCUAAGGAGCCUCUCAAGAUCUAUUUAAAUGCUUCAAGAAGACAAGAAGACAGAUUUGGUUCCACCUCUUUUCCAAGAAUUCGUCCAAGGCUCUUCUUCCCUUAGUUCUUCAUCUUCUUUCUUCUUUUCUUUAAUUUUCUGUUUUGGUUCAGCCAUGAGUGGCUGAAACCCUCUCUCUAGUUGAAGUUUGGUUGAAACUAAGGUUGUUUAAAGGGUUGUGAGAUCUGAAUAGAAACUUUUGUCUUUGAUUUCAUUCAAUAUUCAUGCAAUUGAUGCUUUGAUUCCAAGAUUGCUUUGUUGUUUUGAUCAAAUUGGCCACUUGAUUCUUGAUUGCAAAGUUAAUUGAUUGUUGGAUUAGGAUAUUUGUUAGUCCGUAUAUUGCUGGAAAUAUUCUGUCCAUAGAACACUUGGUGUAAAAACCCAAGAAAUUGUAUGAUCUAGCAACAUCUCAUGUGUUUGAGUAGCUAGGGUUUGGAUCUUUCUUGUUCUUCAUGCAAUUGGCAAUUGUUUUGAUGCCUUUGGCCCAAGGACGUUCCUUGGCAAUUUGUUGAUUAGUAAUUGGUUAGAGGACGUUCCCUAAUCAGUUUGUUCAUAAGGAAAGACAUGGUGGUGAGAAGCGUCUUCCACCCCCAUAACCAACCUAUUGAUUCAAUCAAGAUAACCAUGUUUCAAUGUUCAACCCAAACAACCAAAGUGGAUCCAUAUCUUCAACUAGACUUUUCUCAUAUUGAUUUCUCUCUUAUUUUAGAUUACUUGCUUUUUUAAGUGCCUUUAAUAGUUGUUAGUCAAAUCAUCUCAAAACCCCCCUUUUUACUUUCCUUGCACUUGUUUCUAUUUCUCUUUGAUUACUUGCUUUCACUUGCGCUUUCAAUUAGUUCUUUUGGUCUUGAUUGAGAUAAAUAAAUAGGUAAUCAAUUCUCUGUCGAUGCGAUCCUUCACCACUGUCUGCAGUUGUAAAUUGUAGGUAACCAAGAAGGUUAUUUUUGACCGGCUUCGACAACCGCUCCUGUCCAAAAUUGGCGCCGUUGCCGGGGAAUUGAUUUUACUUGUUUGUUUAUUUUUCUUUCAUGACCAGAUCUGAGCAUAGGGACACUCUGCCCUUUGAUCCAGAAAUUGAACGCACUCUCAGAAGGUUAGGAAAGCAAGCCGUAGAACAUUCUGCCCAACCUUCGGCCGCCGAACCAUCCCAACAUUCGGCCGCCGAAAGUCCUACACUCCAGCAACCAAGUUGCGCGCCAAUGGCAGAACCUCAAGCACCAGCUGCUGCCCAUAAUGGACAUGCUGUCCAAGGCCAGAUAAUUCAAGAAAAUCCAGCAAAUAGGCCACAAGCACAAAGGGAAAGAACCAUGAUGGAGUUAGCAACUCCUAUAGGUGAUUAUGUUCCACUUUGCAUCACCUAUCCACCUCUUACAGUUCCCUUUGAACUCAAGACAGGUUUGAUAAAUAUUCUUCCUAAGUUUAGAGGUAGAGAGAAUGAAAAUCCACAUAAGCACUUAAAAGAAUUUAAAAUUAUUUGCUCAUCCAUGAGACCUCAAGGGAUCUCUGAAGAUCAUGUUAAACUAAGAGCUUUCCCUUUUUCAUUAGAUGACCAUGCUAAGGAUUGGUUAUUUUAUUUGCCACCUGGAUCUAUAACUUCUUGGGAUGAUAUGGUCCAAGCCUUUUUGGACAAAUACUUCCCACCAUCUAAAUCAAUCGGCAUAAUAAGAGAAAUCACUAGCAUAAGACAAAGACCGACUGAGAACUUAUAUGAUUAUUGGAAAAGGUUUGAAAGACUAUGUACAGGUUGUCCACAACAUGAUAUGUCAGACAAAGCCCUCAUUCAGUUCUUCUAUGGAGGAUUGAUUCCAUCAGAAAGAAAACUCAUAAAUGUAGCCUGUGGAGGAUCUAUCCUAGACAAGUCACCAAGGGAGAUGAAAGAGUUGAUAUCUACUCUUGCAGCCUCAUCUAGGCAGUAUGGAGAAGAAAGGCAACUGCAAAGGGCCAAUGAGGUAAGUUUUCCCACUAUGUCUGAACUAACAUCUGUUAUGAAAAAUAUUGCUAUAGAAGUUGUGCAACAGAUUCAAGCAACGCAGCCUCCUAGGCCAUGUGGGAUCUGCUCAUAUGUAGGACACCCCACUGAUCAAUGUCCUACCCUCCAAGAAGACAAUCAACAAGUCAAUGCAAUUGGGAGGUACAACAACCAACCUCGAUAUGAUCCGUACUCCAAUAUAUACAAUCCAGGUUGGAGAGAUCACCCCAAUUUUAGCUAUGGGAAGCCCAAAAAUGAUCAGAAUUACCAAAAUUACCAAAGAAAUCAAGCCCAACCAGCACCUUCAAAUCCAAAUCAGAACCUUGAAAAGAUCAUGCAAACAAUGAUGGAAACAAUGGUCAAUACCAUGCAAGGCGUGCGACAAGAGAUAGGCCAACUGGAUGCAUCCAUCGGCAGAACUAAAUCCCAAGGUAAGCUCCCUUCUCAAACUGAAACCAACCCCAGACAGAAUGUUAGUGCUAUUAUUUUGAGAAGUGGCAAAGAGCUUCAACACACUAAUCAUGAGCAAGAAAAAGAGGAAGAACCAAGGCCCUUUGAAGCCUCUCCAUCUCAAUUAGAACCACCUCAUGUUCACAAGACUGAUCCAAAGGUAAGCUUUCACAUCCCACCUCCUUUUCCGAAAAGAUUUGAAAGAACGCAAAAAGAAAAAGAGGAAAAGGAGAUUCUUGAGACUUUCAGAAAAGUGGAGAUCAACAUACCACUACUAGACGCUGUCAAGCAAAUUCCUAGGUAUGCCAAAUUUUUGAAGGAGCUUUGCACCAAUAGAAGGAAGCUUGCUGAAAGAGAAAAAGUAAGUGUAGGUGAGGUAGUUACUGCUGUUAUUAAAAGAGAACUCCCUACCAAAUGCAAGGACAAAGGCAUGUUUGCUAUCUCUUGCAAAAUUGAGAAUAUUGGUAUCAAGAAAGCCAUGUGUGAUCUUGGUGCAUCUAUUAAUGUCAUGCCUCUCUCCAUCUAUAAAUCUCUCAAUGCAUGUGCACUAAAAGAAACAAGAGUUGUGAUACAAUUGGCUGAUAGAUCUGUGGUACACCCCAUAGGUGUUCUUGAAGAUGUCUUAGUCCAAGUAGAUGAACUUGUCUUUCCUACUGAUUUUUAUGUCAUUGAUACUAAGGAAGAUAGUUGCAAUACUAGUUCUGAUAUUCUUCUUGGACGUCCUUUCUUGAGUACUGCUAGAACUAAAAUUGAUGUGCAUGAUGGUACUCUUACCAUGGAAUUUGAAGGGGAAGUAAUUAAGUACAAUGUUUAUGAUGCCAUGAAAUAUCCUCAUGAUAUGUCCCUAGUUUAUGGUCUUGAUAUUAUUGAUUGUUUGAGCCAAGAUGUGUUUAAUGAAAAUCAAGAUUCUGUUUUAGAUGAUGAUCUUUGCAGGAUUGAAAACCUGAAACUGAAGGAAACAAUCUGCAGCAUUCAGCAGUUAGAAGUUGCGCAGACAGAAAACAUUCGGCCGCCGAACAUAGCCCACCUUCGGCCGCCGAAUCCUACUACCCCGUAGGAACCAGAUUUUGUUACACCGCUUGAGCCAAACAUUGCGCAGAAAGAAGACAUUUGGCCGCCCAACAUCUUUCGACCGCCGAACCCCACUGACUUGCGGAAGCCGAAUCCAUCACCAAAGCUCAUUCCGCAAACUGAAGAAAUUCGGCCGCCGAACUCAGACACUUUUCGGCCGCCAAACCUCUCCCAGCAGGCUCCAUCACAAGCAAGCUCUUCCAAACCACCUUCGCAACCUUCUGAUCUGAAGCCUCUCCCAGACCAUCUGAAAUACAUGUACUUGGGAGCGAAUAAGACACUACCAGUAAUAGUAUCCAAUGAAUUGAGCCAACAAGAAGAAGCAAGCCUCUUGAAGGUACUACAGAAACACAAAAGAGCCAAAGGAUAGACCAUUGAUGACAUCAAAGGUAUCUCUCCCUCCACCUGCAUGCAUAGAAUUCACAUGGAGGAUGAAUGCAAGCCAGUCAGAGAUGCUCAAAGAAGAUUGAAUCCACCUAUGAUGGAAGUAGUGAAAAAAGAGAUAGUCUGUAAUACCCGGCUAGUUCAGGCAUCAGAAUUCUUACCAUCCGGUGGAAUUCCGGAAUGUCAGAGGUUCUAGAAGGGUAAGAGUGAAGGUUUUCUAAAAGGGUUUUAAGUGGUUCAAAGGUUUGAUUCAGAAAAGAGUUAAGUUUUGAGGAGAAGUGGCCUAAGGAGUUUUUGUCAUGUUCGGCCCCCGAAUGGUAAGUUCGGCCGCCGAAAGUGCCCAAUGUUUGGCCCCCGAAGUUUAUGUUUGGCCCCCGAACGUUGCAUGGUUUUGCAUGCAGUUUCGACAGCCGAAGCUGAGGUGGUCGGUUAGUUGUGCACACUCCUCAGUCCGUGGUUUGGCCAGGUGUUCACCUCCAGAUCAUGACCAGAGGUUUGGCCACGUCUCCCUUGACUCAUCUGCACGCUUUAAUCAGCUUAUGCAGAGGGUUGGUCUUUUGCAAAGGGGUUGAACGUUUGUGAGAGAAAAGAAGAGUUGUGAGGGUUUGAAGCUUUGGAGGAGGAGUUGCUGAGUUGGCUGUUCCUCUUCUGUUUUCAAGAGGUAAGGGAAGUCUUUAAACUUGUUUUAAUGAUUUAUAACAGCUUUUAAAGAGGUUAAGGGGAGAGUUAUGUAUAUAGGGUUAGUUUUGAUGUUUUAAUGGUGUAAGUAUGUAUAUGUGUUAUGGUUGCUGUUUUGUUGGGGUUAGUAGGUAGUUUUGGACCCCUUGGUUCAUAUACCUGAGUAUAUGUGAGUGAAGGAGGAGGUAUGCAUGUAUGGAGUGGGGUUGGUGCUUGGCAGGCUUGUUCAUGCACGAAGCUGAGUUCUGGAUGAACUCAGGUUCGGCCGCCGAAGGGAGGAUUCGGCCGCCGAACCCCUUGUGGAGGCAGUUUCGGCUGCCUAAGGUUGCUUCCGAAAGAAUGGACUUUCGGCUCUGUCAUGCACAUUCGGCCGCCGAAGGUGCCGCCGAAGGUGCUCUGUCCAGCCUUGGACCCAGGCGACAUCAAUAGCCCGUCGAGGGAGUUUUGAAGUCAUGUCCAAUCAAUGAUGUGGAAUAUAUGAGAUGUGUUGCAUUUUCAUAAAAGAUGUGUAUGAAUGAACUAUUUUCAGUGUUUCUACUCACUGGGCUUUAGAAGCUCAUCCCUUUCCCUUAAUCCCAGUUUUGCAGGUUCAGUAUAGCAGGGAAAGUCAGCAACAGCAGAGUGGUGACUAGAAGACUGCAUGUGUAAUAGCCUAGUAUGGACAUGAUGUAAAUCAAAGAAAUAUAUGUAAAGGCAUGUAAUAGCUAGUAAGUCAGUAUGAUAUGGUUUAGACUGUGCUUUGCCUAGUGUUUGCUUAUCCCUUGUAUAUGCAUGUAUCCUGUUUUCAGUUUCUUGAUGAGAAAUGUGUCAAAACAGACUUAAUCAAUGUUGUGUUUCGAAAACCCAGUGAAGGAUAACUGUGAGGGAAGAUAGGGUUUCAUUCCCUUGACCCAAGACCAGUGCAAAGGAAAGACCAGGUUUGAUUCCUGUGAUCCACAGAGUAGACCACUAGAGAAAACCAGGUUUGAUUCCUGUGACUCUAUGGUAGCCAAGUUAACUUAUGAUAUGCUGACCCUUACGGAGUGGGUUCUAUGCUGCAGAGCGCAUAGGGUAUGGAGGUUACUUGGUAAAGCAUCACUGGUGUAUUAUAGAUAGCCCGAGGGCUAGUUCAGAUUAGUAUAUCUGAGCAUUUUGGUUCAUAUGAUUGGACCUACAGAGAGUGUUUUACAGGUUAAGUCUGGUUGUUUUACAGACAAGUUUUAACAGGUAAUAGUCCAGUCGGAUCAUGUAUGGGAUUUUAACAGGUACACAGAGUUUCAGGAUAGGCUUACUACGGGUCUAGGCGGCCUUAAGCCGAUCUGGAUCCUAGUGCCGAGCGGUUCGGACCGUUACAAGAGGGGUAUCGGUUUUUCGGGCUGUUACAUAGUCAAACUCCUUGAUGCAGGCAUCAUCUACCCAAUUUCUGAUAGCAAAUGGGUGAGUCCUGUACAUGUAGUUCCAAAGAAAACUGGAAUUACCAUUGUUCCAAAUGCUGAAGGAGAACUUGUUCGCACAAGAGUUCAAAAUGGAUGGAGAGUAUGCAUGGACUAUAGGAAGCUCAACGCUGCAACAAGGAAGGACCACUUCCCACUACCUUUCAUUGAUCAGAUGCUAGAAAGGCUUGCAGGUAAAUCUCACUAUUGUUGUCUUGAUGGUUAUUCAGGUUUUUACCAAAUUCCAGUUGCCCCAGAGGACCAAGAGAAAACCACCUUCACUUGUCCUUUUGGCACUUUUGCCUUUAGAAGAAUGCCAUUUGGACUAUGCAAUGCACCUGCCACUUUUCAACGGUGCAUGAUGAGCAUAUUUUCUGACUAUGUGGGUAAGACAAUUGAGGUAUUUAUGGAUGACUUCACAGUUCAUGGAAAUUCUUUUAAUGAAUGCCUUACCAAUUUAGAAAAAAUCUUGCAAAGAUGCAUUGAGACUAACCUUGUGCUUAAUUAUGAAAAAUGUCAUUUUAUGGUUAAUCAAGGUAUGGUCUUAGGUCAUGUUGUUUCAGCUAAGGGUACUGAAGUGGACAAAGCUAAGGUGGAUACCAUAAAAAAUCUGCCUUACCCUUCCAAUGUUAAGGACAUCCGCUCCUUCCUUGGACAUGCAGGAUUCUACAGAAGAUUCAUCAAAGAUUUCUCAAAAAUUACUUUGCCAUUGUGCAGAUUGCUCCAACAGGACGUAACAUUUGAUUUUGAUGCAGAUUGCAAAAAGGCAUUCAAUUUAAUUAAAGAAUUGCUUGUGACUGCCCCAAUUAUUCAAGGGCCUGACUGGAACUUACCAUUUGAAAUCAUGUGUGAUGCAAGCAACUAUGCAGUAGGAGCAGUCUUGGGGCAACGUGUGGGAAACUCACCCCAUGUCAUUCACUAUGCCUCUCGCACACUAGAUGCUGCACAAAGCAACUACACAACAACUGAAAAAGAACUCUUGGCAGUUGUAUUUGCUUUGGAGAAGUUCAGACCAUAUCUAUUGGGAACCAAAGUCAUUGUCUAUUCUGACCAUGCAGCCUUGCGAUACUUGAUCAAGAAAAAAGAAGCAAAACUAAGGCUCAUUAGGUGGAUCCUACUUCUACAAGAAUUUGAUCUAGAAAUAAGAGACAAGAAGGGCAAAGAGAAUCUUGUGGCAGACCACCUCAGCCGACUUCCAUAUAGUUCUACACCAUGCCCAGUCAAAGAAGAGUUCCCAGACGAACAUCUGUUCGUCACUCACUCUGCCUAGAUAGUCAUGCCAUGCACACCACACCCCAGGGAAGUACUCAGUUUCUUUUGUUCUCUUUUCUUCUCCUCUCCUCUUCUCUCUUCUUUUACAUUGAGGACAAUGCUUGAUCUAAGUGUGGGGGUGCAUAUCUCUCUCUUCUUCUUCUCAUUCUUCUCUUCUUCUCCUCUUCUCCCUUUCUCUUCUACGAUUUCUCAUGCCUUCAGAUUGCAAAAAAUUUUUCUUUUUCCUUUCAGUUUUAAGCUAAUUAGCCACAGUUGAAUUUUAAUUUGUUAAUGCUUUUAAUAAAACACACACAACCACAACCUUCUUCUUCUUUUUUUUUUUUCUUUUUUUUUUGCUCUACUCAAACUGAUGAACUAUGUUGAAUGAGCCUUUCUUUCCAUGACCCUAUUGAUGUGAAAACUCUUUAAACUUGUGUUGAAUCACUUGCAGUGGGUUAUAUUCAUGUUUGAGAAUUGCCUCUUGAAUGGAAUCUUUGAGUUUGCCAUGGUGAAAAAUGUAUUGAUGACCCUCAAUUGAUUGAGAAUAAAUUGAAGUUGUGUGAAUGAACUUAACAUGACUUGAUUUAGCAAUUGGUGUUGAUUUGCCCAAAUCAUUGAGAGAAAGAAAAUUCAGCAAAGGCAAAGACCUCAAAAGCACAAAUUGAAAAUUGUUCCAAUGGUCAAAAGACUAUGAACAAGGCUAGUAGCCACUUUGAUAGGUGACCAACUGAAAAAUAUAAACCAUGACAUCAAAAAUAGGUUGGUGACCUUUCCAAGCAUACCCAUGCAUACCCACAUGGAGCUGUAGACAUCCGAAGCAUAGAAACUGGAAAAAUCUUCAAGGUGAAUGGACAUCGUUUGAAACCAUACUUUGAAGGGUUCGCAGUACAAGUGGUGGAAGCAAUUCCACUACAACAUAAUUCUGCCUAAAGUGAUCAUGCCAAGCACACCACACCCUAGGGAAGUACUCAGUUUCUUUUGUUCUCUUCUCUCUUCUCUUCUCCUCUUCUCUCUUCUUUUACAUUGAGGACAAUGCAUAAUUUAAGAGUGGGGGUGCAUAUAGCUUCUCCCUUUUCUUUUUCUUUUCUCCCUCUUCUCUUCUUCUGCGAUUUCUCAUGCUUUCAGAUUGCAAAAUUUUUGUUUUUCCUUUCGGUUUUAAGUUCCUUAGCCACAGUUGAAUUUUAAUUUAUGCUUUCAAUAAAACACACACAACCACAACCUUCUUCUUCUUUUUGUUUUGCUCUACUCAAACUAAUGAACUAUGUUGGAUGAGUUUUUCUUCCCAUGACCCCAUUGAUGUGAAAACUCUUUAAACUUAUGUUGAAUCAAUUGCAGUGAGUUGUAUUCAUGUUUGAGAAUUACCUUUUAAAUUGAAUCUUUGAGUUUGCCAUGGUGAAAAAUAUAUUGAUGACCCUCAAUUGAUUGAGAAUAAAUUAAAAUUGUGUGAAUGAACCUAAUGUGACUUGAUUUAGCAAUUGGUGUUGAUUUGCCCAAAUCAUUGAGAGAAAGAAAAUUCAGCAAAGGCAAAGCCCUCAAAAGCACAAAACAAAAAAAAAAAUAUUCCAAUGGACAAAAAGAUUAUGAAAAGAGCUAGUAGCCACUUGGAAAGGUGAUCAACUGAGUAACUGGGGGUGGGUAUCACAAAUAUGUACCUUCACGUCAAAAGGUUGGUGAUCUUUUCAAGCAAAAUCAAAGUGCAAAAAAGCCUGAAUAAAGUACUUCAAGGUAAGAGCAAGUCAAUCCAAAAGCUAGAAAAAGUCUUAACAUAAUGUGCAUGUCUCUCUUGAGGAAAACAAAUCCUAGCUAUGGUAAGCAAAGGGAAACAAGGAAAGGAGGUAAGUAAUCUUCAUGCAUAUAUUCUUCACUGCAAUGAUUCAAAAUAGGUGUCUUGAGUAUGAGCUUAAGUGGAAAUAAGGAUCUAGAGCAAGGGAAGCUUAUUUGACUAUGUUUGUUUGCUUGAGGACAAGCAAAAGCUUAAGUGCGGGGGUAUUUGAUAGAGCAUAUUUUAGCCCAUAUUUUCAUGAUCUUAUUGAUGUUUAUUUUCACCUAUUCUACCUAAUUUUGUGGUUUUAAUCAUGUUUUGCAAGUAUUAGGUGUGAAGAAACAAUUUGGAGAAAAUGCUCUUAAAAAUGCCAAAAGAAGCCAAAACUAGAGAAGCAACAUUCGGAGGCAACUUUCAGAAGCCAAAAAUCAAUCACCUUCGGCGGCAACCUUCGGCGGCCGAAAGAGGACUCCAGAGACGAAAGUCGACCACCUUCGGCGGCACCUUCGGCCGUCGAACCUUGUGUCCAGAGCCGAAAGUCCAGCCUCCGAAACUCACUUUAGGCAGCCGAAAAUGCACUCCAAUACACACUUUCCUUAUUCAAAAAGCCAUAUCCCAAGUUGCCAUAUUUGAGGAGCCAAACAAGGGAAGUGUUUUGAGAUCCAAAUCUUCAAAAUUCACAUUCAAAUAUUGGAUUUCAAGAUCAAGCUUAUUAAGGAAGCCAAAUCCAAAGAUCACAUGUUUCCCACUUAGUAUCAUGCACAUUCAAAAUUCAAAAGGAGGCUCCACCUUCCUUAUUAGUGCAUGGAAAGCCUCUUAACUCUUUAGGCAACAUCUUGAAGACCUUGGGCAGCAAUUAAAAAGACCAAAUAGCCCCCACUUGCCCCCCAUCACAUGCAUCUCGUUUUUGCCUUCACCCAUGCACAAAGAAGGCACAUAUAGGACCAAGGGCACUUUGGACAGCCUCAAAAAGACUCAUGGACUGCCACCAAACCCUAAGGAGCAUCUCAAGAUCUAUUUAAAGGCUUCAAGAAGACAAGAAGACAGAUUUGGUUCCACCUCUUCUCCAAGAAUUCGUCCAAGGCUCUUCUUCCCUUAGUUCUUCAUCUUCUUUCUUCUUUUCUUUAAUUUUUUGUUUUGGUUCAGCCAUGAGUGGCUGAAACCCUCUCUCUAGUUGAAGUUUGGUUGAAACUAAGGUUGUUUAAAGGGUUGUGAGAUCUAAACAGAAACUUUUGUCUUUGAUUUCAUUCAAUAUUCAUGCAAUUGAUGCUUUGAUUCCAAGAUUGCUUUGUUGUUUUGAUCAAAUUGGCCACUUGAUUCUUGAUUGCAAAGUUAAUUGAUUGUUGGAUUAGGAUAUGUGUUAGUCCGUAAUUGCUGGAAAUAUUCUGUCCAUAGAACACUUGGUGUAAAAACCCAAGAAAUUGUAUGAUCUAGCAACAUCUCAUGCGUUUGAGUAGUUAGGGUUUGGAUCUUUCUUGUUCUUCAUACAAUUGACAAUUGUUUUGAUGCCUUUGGCCCAAGGAAGUUCCUUGGCAAUUUUUUGAUUAGUAAUUGGUUAGAGGACGUUCCCUAAUCAGUUUGUUCAUAAGGAAAGACAUGGUGGUGAGAAGCGUCUUCCACCCCCAUAACCAACCUAUUGAUUCAAUCAAGAUAACCAUGUUUCAAUGAUCAACCCAAACAACCAAAGUGGAUCCAUAUCUUCAACUAGACUUUUCUCAUAUUGAUUUCUCUCUUAUUUUAGAUUACUUGCUGUUUUAAUUGCUUUCAAUAGUUGUUAGUCAAAUCAUCUCAAAACCCCCCUUUUUACUUUCCUUGCACUUGUUUCUAUUUCUCUUUGAUUACUUGCUUUCACUUGCGCUUUCAAUUAGUUCUAUUGGUCUUGAUUGAGAUAAAUAAAUAGGUAAUCAAUUCUCUGUGGAUACGAUCCUUCACCACUGUCUGCAGUUGUAAAUUGUAGGUAACCAAGAAGGUUAUUUUUGACCGGCUUCGACAACCGCUCCUGUCAGCAGGUUAUGACAGGAAGUUCUUCCAGAACUUCUCUAGAGUUGCUGCUCCUAUGACCGGGUUGACCGAAGAGAAUCAGAUGUUAGUUUGGUCAGAACCAUGUGAAGGAAGCUUUGAAAAGCCAAAGAGAAGGUUGAGGUCAGCACCAGUUGUAAUACCCGGCUAGACUCCGAUAUCGGAAUUCCUAUCGUCCGGUGGAAUCUCGAGUGUCGGAGACCUCUAGAAGGGUAAAACCAUGUUUUUAUAAAGUGUUUUAACAUGUUUUAUGUUUUUAAGCAAGAAAGAAAUGAGUUUUUGCAUGAAAAUAGCCUUGGAGGAAAACUCAGGUUCGGCCACCGAAGCUCAAGCUCGGCCGCCGAACAUGCAUGCGCUUCAGGAGUGCUUUAGGCCCCCAAAAGCAUAAGUGAGGGAAGUCCAGGUUCGGCCGCCGAACCUCAUGUUUGGCCGCCGAACAUGGCAUGCAUGCGGAGGCACAGUCGGCUCCCGAAUGUGGCCUGGCCAGCCACCUAUAAAGGGGCCCCUUAGCCGAAAUGGGAGAGUUUUUCUCCCCAUUGUCGGCCAAGGUGAGCUCUCCGCCAUCCCUCGUCGAUUUUGAGUUCCUUCCUUCAGAUCUUUCACGAUUUUCACAAGUUUCCACUUUGUUUUGAAGAUUUUCGAGUACAAAGCAAGUUUUGGAGAUUUGAGGUUCAAGAAACCCAAUCUCUCCCAUCUCCGAGCUAGGGUCGUUUUCCUCUCGAUCUUCAAGAGGUAAGGGCCGAUCUUGAGCUCACUAUAUAUUUUAAGUAAGUUUUAAGUAGAUCUAUAGGGUAGAAAUGCAUGUUUAGGUUAUUGUUAGGUUUAUGGGUUUAUGUAUGUUUAUGAACAAUGUGAGUUGUUUGAUGUGUUGUAGUUGGGGUUUUUGAUGGUUUGAGGCCCCUAGGAGCUUGUAUGCUUGAGUAUGCAUGUUGUAGAAUAGGAAAAUGCAUGUUGAAAGGUUUGGGAGGCGUUUGUGCAAUAUUGAAGUUGAGUUUCUGCCACUUUGGAGAAACUCAGGUUCGGCUGCCGAACCCGCUUGUGGAGGUAGCCUUCGGCUGCCGAAGCCUGCCCCCGAAUGAGGACUUUCAUCUCUGUAGGGCAGUUUCGGCCACCGAAAGUGCCGCCGAACAUGCAUGAGUUUCGUCUCUGUCUGGGAGUUUCAGCCGCCGAAGGUGCCGCCGAACCUGCCUGACUUUCGGCUCUGGAGGGACUUUCGGCCGCCGAACCUGCCGCCGAAAGUGCCCUGUUCAGCCUUCAUUUGCAUGCUUUCCAUGGAUGUUUUGAGGUGUUUUAAGGGGGUUUUUGGGGAGUAUUUUAGAGUCAUUCUAGUAUGUUUGGUCCCUCAUUGCGUCCACCUGUGUAGGUUCGGACCCGAGGAACCGAGGACCCCAGCAGUGAGUCAGCUGCUUCAGUCUUUGUCAGAGCUAGCUGAGGUGAGUAGAAUGAACUCUUAUCUUUUAAAUAAAUGAAAAUCUUAGCAUGAAUCAUGCAUCACAGAUGCCAUGUGAUAUUUUAGGUUGUUUGCAUUAGAAAUCACGAAUAUGUUGCAUUGCAUAAUAUGUUAUUGAUGUGGAUGAAUGUUGGAUGAUCCUUUAGCCGCACUACGUUAUGAUAUGAUGUGGAAAGACCAGAUGUGGCCUGCACUACGCUCCUGGCACUAUGUAAGAGAAAGAUCGGAAGUGGCCUGCACUACGCCCCCGGCAUGAUUGGAUAUGUUAUGAUAUGUUAUGUAUAAGAGAAAGACCAGAUGUGGCCUGCACUACGCCCCUAGCACUAUUGGAUUCAGUAGUGGGCUAUUGGUGACAAGUUCAUCCUUGAUGUGAAUUGUUUGUGAUAUGUUGCAUUUCAUGAAAGCAUGAAAAAUAAAUUGAAUGUUAUAUUAUUCUGCUCACUGGGCUCUUGUAGCUCACCCCUUUCCCCUUAUCCCCCAGGUUUGCAGGUACAAGGUAGACCAGGAGGUCGGCAGGAGUAAAGUCUGAUUUCAUGUAAUAGUUAGAAGUUGUGGACAUGAUGAAAUUGUAAUGUAAUGUCUUAUGUAGUCAUGAUAUGUAAUAAUGAUAUUGAGGAUUAGAGGUUGUGCUUGACCCCAUGUGUAUGGUUAUCCCUUUUGAUACAUAAUCUAUAAAAUGUUUUUAUGAUGUUUAUGUUCAACCAAGCUUAAUGUAUGCAUGUUGGGUUACCCCAUUGGAGCAUUUGAUGAGAGCUCCAGUGUGUGGGUUAUGUUAUGUUAUGAGUAUAUACAGGUUGAGCUUGGUCUAUGGAAAGAAAAAGUUUAAAGGUUUUUGAGUAUGUAUGAUCAUGUAUGGGAUUUGACAGGUUCUCAGGUUAUAUGUCAGGCUUGCUACGGGUCCCGGCGGCCUUAAGCCGAUCUGGAUCCUAGCGCCGGUAGCGGUCCGGUUUUCGGGUCGUUACAGAGUGGUAUCAGAGCCCUAGGUUCAUAUGGUCGGACCUAGAGUGUCGGGCUCAUAGAAGUUACAGAAGGUCAAGCACAAUAGGAAAGAUCAUGUCCACUAGGAUAGGAUGUGGAGUCCUGUCUUGUAUUAUGAUGUGAAAUGCCAUGAUAAUAUGCAUGUGCAUUAAUGUUAUGAUUGUUAUGUGAUGUAUGUGAUGUGGGUUCAUGUGUUGACACAUGAACCAUUUGAUGCUAAUGUUUGUGUGAUUUGUGCUGUUUUUUCAGAAAACAGGAUGAGAGGAACUCGUCGAUCUACACGAUUGACUGGAGUACCACCUGAGGAUGAGGGCACGAGCGCCCGUCCUCCUGUAUUGCCUAGGGCAAUGUCUAGUAGGGCUAGCAGAGAAAGAGCAGUAAGAGACCCUAGAAGGUCUCUGGAUCUGGGUAGAAGCAGAUCAGUGAGGGGAACAGUUCAGGGAGGAAUGUCAGAGGACAUGGGGGAUGAUAUGGAUGUAGAGCAGAGGAGAGAUGGCAGUCUAGGAGUCAACAUGUCAGAAGAGGGAAUGGGAGAGUCCCAAGGAGGUACCCAGGCCUCGGGAUUUAUUCAGCCACCCCACUACCCACACUUCUCACAAAAUCCCGGGUAUUCGAUGGGAGGUACAUCGGAUUACCCUAGCUUUACUCCUUAUCCCACACACAUGCCAUACCCACCCUACUACCCACCAUACCCACAGUACCCAAUGUAUCCACCCCCACCCUACUAUCCAAAUCCAGCUAACCCUACCUUAGAAAAUGUUGCACCUCCUCCACCAUCAGCAGAACCCACAGUUUCAGCAACCCAUAUACCUAAGCCUAACUCAUCUGGUGGGAGCAAGGUCAAGAUGACCGACUACAUGAAGCUGGGUGCUCCCUAGUUUGAAACCGGUGAUGACCCGUUUGUGUACCUUGAGAGGGUCAAAACAAUUACAGAUGAGAUAGGAGCUGAUGACAGCAGAGCCAUUCAGAUGGCUGGGUUCACACUCAAAUGCAAAAAGGCCCGUGAGUGGUUUAAGAACUAUGUGAGCCCGAGGUUGGACAGCCUAUCAUGGGAGGAGUUUGCAAAUGAAUUUGCAGGAUGGGCUUUUCCUGACAGUUCAAGAGAAUUGAAGAUGAUUGAGUUUGAACAGUUAAGGCAGUAAGAGGAAAUGAGUGUAGAUGAGUACACCGACAGAUUCUUGGAGCUGUUGCCGUUUGCAGGGCAAACUCUUGACACAGACCAGAAGAAGUCAAGGAGGUAUAUCAUGAAACUUCACUCCAGGUAUUCCUCCUUGAUCCAGUCCGCAGAUAGGGAGAGCUUCCAUGCCAUAGUGGAUAUGGCUAGGAGGAUGGAGGCUAGUGCUAUCAUCGAGGGGAAAGUCAAGCAGUCAGUGGCACAGCCUUCUGGUUCUAAGACCCCAGGCUCUUCUUCAAUGAGUGCAGCAGCUUCAGGUAGUAAAAAGUGGGACAGAGGCCCCAGGAAGUCCAAGAAGAACAAGUUCUGGAACAAGGUUAAGUCCAGUCUGGGAUUUGGAGGUGGCUCAAGCUCUGGUGCGGAUAAUGCAGUUUGUGCAAGGUGUGGUAAGCCACACAAGGGAGUAUGUCGGUUUGGGACGACAGCCUGUUAUAGAUGUGGUCAGGAGGGGCAUAUGUCUCGAAAAUGUCCAAGAGCAGUCCCGAUGGCACAGUCCUAGUAGACAGCUUCUGGUAGUGUAUCGCAGCCAGCAGGUCCAGCCACGACUCAGGCUAGUGGCAGAGGUAGAGGGAGAGGGGCAGCCUCUUCGUCAGCGGGUUUCAGAGGUGAAGGUCCAUAAGCUCCAGCACGGAUCUUCACAAUGACACAGCAGGAGGCAUAUGCAUCUAACACCGUGGUGGCAGGUAACUUAGUCAUUAGUUGUUAAGAUGUGUAUGCCUUGAUGGACCCUGGUGCAUCUCAUUCUUUUAUUGCACCGAGAGCCGUUGAGAGGUUGGGGUUGAUGAGCUAUGGGUUAGAGUGUCCUCUCUGGGUCAGUGGACCCAAGUGUGAUCCAUCAGUGGCAGAGUCAGUCUGCCAGUGCAGUCCAGUCUUUGUUGAGGGAAGAUGCCUUUCCGCCGACCUUGUGGUUCUAGACUUGACAGAUUUCGACGUCAUUCUAGGGAUGGACUGGUUAUCUACCCAUGGUGCUACCUUGGACUGCAGGGACAAAGUAGUCAGGUUCAGAGGUCAGGAUGGAUCAGAGGUUGUCUUCAGGGGAGACAGGAGGGGUACACCUAGAGGUCUGAUAUCAGCUCUUCAGGCUCGUAGGUUGCUUAGGAAGGGAUGCCAGGGGUAUUUGGCUCAUGUGAGAGAGCUUAGCAGUCAGGUUAGAGAGUCCGCCUCAGUGCCAGUGGUCAGAGAGUUUUUAGAUGUCUUCCCAGACGAGCUGCCCGGUUUAUCACCUACUAGGGAGAUAGAGUUCGAGAUAGAACUGAUGCCUGGAACCCGACCGAUCUCUAUCCCUCCCUACAGGAUGGCACCAGCAGAAUUGAAAGAGUUGCAAGAGCAGUUGCAGGAGCUGGUAGACAAGGGCUUCAUCCGACCGAGUACCUCGCCUUGGGGUGCUUCAGUUUUGUUUGUGAAAAAGAAGGAUGGAUCCCUCAGACUUUGUAUCGACUACAGGCAGUUGAACAAAGUCACUACCAAGAAUAGGUACCCUUUGCCAAGGAUCGAUGAUCUAUUCGACCAGCUAGCAGGAGCGGGUUGUUUCUCCAAAAUAGAUAUGAGGUCCGGGUACCAUCAGCUGAGGAUAAGAGAGGAAGAUGUGUCAAAGACGACUUUCUGGACCAGAUAUGGGCAUUUUGAGUUCCUUGUGAUGCCGUUCGGGUUAACCAACGCCCCUGCAGCAUUCAUGGAUCUCAUGAACAGAGUGUUUAGCCAGUACCUGGAUCACUUUGUGAUUGUCUUCAUAGAUGAUAUCUUUGUGUAUUCCAGGAAUGCAGAGGAGCAUGCCCAUCAUCUAGGUUGGUUCUACAGACCUUGAGGGAGCACGGCUUGUAUGCCAAGUUCUCCAAGUGUGAGUUCUGGUUGAGGAGCAUCUCAUUCUUGGGGCAUGUUGUGUCAGAAAAUGGGAUAGAGGUGGACCCCAAGAAGAUAGAAGUUGUGGCUAACUGGCCUAGACCCACUUCAGUGUCAGAGAUCAGAAGUUUCUUGGGUUUGGCAGGUUACUACAGGAGGUUCGUCCAGGACUUCUUGAAAAUUGCAGCUCCUCUGACCAGGUUAACCAGGAAGAAUCAGAAGUUUGUGUGGAUCGACCAGUGCGAAGAGAGUUUUGAAGAGCUUAAGAAGAGAUUAACGUCAGCACCAGUGUUAGCUUUGCCAACUAGCAGUGAGGACUUCACAGUGUUCUGUGAUGCAUCCCGAGUGGGUUUGGGUUGUGUGCUAAUGCAGAAUGAAAGGGUGAUUGGUUAUGCUUCUAGACAGCUGAAGAAGCAUGAGUUGAAUUACCCCACACAUGACCUGGAGAUGGCAGCAGUUAUCUUUGCACUCAAGAUGUGGAGGCAUUACCUUUAUGGUGUUAAAUGUGAGAUCUUCACAGAUCAUAAAAGCCUGCAGUACAUCCUGAGUCAAAGAGAUUUGAACUUGAGACAGAGAAGAUGGGUAGAGCUGCUGAGUGACUAUGAUUGCAAGAUUCAGUAUCAUCCGGGUAAGGCGAAUGUUGUGGCAGACGCCCUAAGCCGGAAAUCACUAGGCAGUAUAUCCCACAUCACGGCAGAGAGGAGACCAGUGGUGAAGGAGUUUUACAAGCUCAUUGAUGAAGGUCUACAGUUGGAGUUGUCUGGUACAGGUGCCUUAGUUGCCCAGAUGAGAGUGGCACCCGUGUUUCUGGAGCAGGUGGCUCAGAAACAGCAUGAGGACCCAGAGUUAGUGAAGAUUGCCAGGACUGUUCAGUCAGGCAAAGAUAGUGAGUUCAGAUUCGACAACAAGGGGAUCCUCCGCUAUGGGAGUCGUUUGUGUGUACCAGAUGACAUAGGGCUAAAGGGAGACAUUAUGAGAGAGGCUCAUAAUGCAAGAUACAGCGUUCACCCUGGAGCCACCAAAAUGUACCAAGAUUUGAAGAAAGUUUAUUGGUGGCCAGCUAUAAAGAGAGAAGUGGCACAGUUUGUGUCAACCUGCGAAGUGUGUCAGAGGGUGAAGCUGGAACAUCAGAAGCAGGCUAGAAUGCUUAACCCGCUACCUAUUCCAGAGUGGAAAUGGGAGAAUAUAGCUAUGGACUUCGUAGUGGGGUUACCGGUGACGUCCAACAAAUUGGACUCCAUAUGGGUGAUUGUGGACAGACUCACCAAAUCUGCUCACUUCAUCCCUGUCAGGAGUGGCUAUUCUGUGGACAAGUUGGCGCAAGUGUAUGUUGAUGAGAUCGUCAGGCUACAUGGGGUUCCUGUUUCAAUAGUGUCCGAUAGAGGACCCCAGUUCACCUCCAGAUUUUGGCGGAGUCUGCAGAAUGCCAUGGGUACCAGGUUGGAUUUUAGUACUGCUUUCCAUCCGCAGACGGACGGACAGUCAGAAAGGACCAUCCAGACAAUAGAGGAUAUGCUCAGAAUGUGUGUGCUGGACUUUGGCGGUUCUUGGAGGCAGCAUCUACCUUUGGUGGAGUUUGCCUACAAUAACAGCCAUCAUGCUGGCAUCGGGAUGGCUCCAUAUGAAGCUUUGUAUGGGAGGAAGCCAUGUGUGAUCUUGGUGCAUCUAUUAAUGUCAUGCCUCUCUCCAUCUAUAAAUCUCUCAAUGCAUGUGCACUAAAAGAAACAAGAGUUGUGAUACAAUUGGCUGAUAGAUUUGUGGUACACCCCAUAGGUGUUCUUGAAGAUGUCUUAGUCCAAGUAGAUGAACUUGUCUUUCCUGCUGAUUUUUAUGUGAUUGAUACUAAGGAAGAUAGUUGCAAUACUAGUUCUGACAUUCUUCUUGGACGUCCUUUCUUGAGUACUGCUAGAACUAAAAUUGAUGUGCAUGAUGGUACUCUUACCAUGGAAUUUGAAGGGGAAGUAAUUAAGUACAAUGUCUAUGAUGCCAUGAAAUAUCCUCAUGAUAUGUCCCCUAUUUAUGGUUUUGAUAUUAUUGAUUGUUUGAGUCAAGAUGUGUUUAAUGAAAAUCAAGAUUCUGUUUUAGAUGAUGAUCUUUGCAGGAUUGAAGACCUGAAAGUAAAAGAAACAAUCUGCAGCAUUCAGCAAGUUGAGAUCAAGCAGACAGAAGACAUUCGGCCGCCGAACAUAGCCCACUUUCGGCCGCCGAACCCUACUACCCCGCAGGAACCAGAUUCUGUUACACCGCUUGAGCCAAACAUUGCGCAAAAAGAAGACGUCCUUCGGCCGCCGAACAUCUUCCGGCCGCCGAACCCCACUGACUUGCGGAAACCGAAUCCAUCGCCAAAGCUCAUUCCGCAAACUGAAGAAAUUCGGCCGCCGAACUCAGACACUUUUCGGCUGCCGAACCUCUCCCAGCAGGGUCCAUCACAAGCAAGCUCUUUCACCCCACCUUCUUUGCAGACAAGCUCAGAACAAUGCCUUCUUGAAUCUGAAGAAACCAAGGAAGACUUCCUUGAACAAAUCUUCCUUGCUCAGUCUGAUGAGCCAUGGUACGCCGAUAUGGUAAACUACUUGGCCACAGGUAACUUACCUUCUGAUAUGCCCAAGCACACUAAAGAUAAAAUAAAAAAGGAUGCCAAAUACUAUGUUUGGGAUGAGCCAUAUUUGUGGAAACAUUGUACUGACCAAAUGAUAAGGAAAUGCAUUCCUGAUCAAGAAAUAGCCUCUGUACUUACUUUUUGUCAUUCAUAUAGUUGUGGAGGACACUUUGGUCCAAGGAAAACUACUCACAAGAUACUUGAAAGUGGCCUAUUUUGGCCCACCAUGUUUCGAGAUGCUUUUCUAUUUUGCAAGACAUGUGCCAGGUGUCAACAGACCGAAAAUCUGAGCAAAAGAAAUCAAAUGCCACAGAACCCCAUCAUGGUCUGUGAGGUAUUUGAUAUUUGGGGCAUAGACUUCAUGGGACCAUUCCCACCAUCCUUUGGAUACACUUAUAUCAUCCUUGCAGUGGAUUAUGUAUCCAAGUUGGUGGAGGCUAGAGCAACUAAGACUGAUGAUGCCAAGGCAGUGGUAGACUUUGUGAAGACCAACAUCUUUGCCAGACAUGGAGUACCAAAAGCAAUCAUCAGUGAUAGAGGGACCCAUUUUUGCAAUAGGUUAGUGGAAAGCCUUCUCAGAAAAUACAAUGUCAUCCACAGAACAUCCAUAGCCUACCACCCUCAGACGAAUGGACAAGCUAAAGUGUCCAACAGAGAAAUCAAAGCCAUCCUUGAAAAGACAGUUUCUCUCAACCGAAAGGAUUGGAGCUUAAGAUUAGAGGAUGCCUUAUGGGCCUACAGAACAGCCUACAAGACUCCCAUAGGUAUGUCUCCUUAUAGACUUGUCUAUGGGAAAUCUUGUCACCUCCCAGUUGAGCUUGAGCACAAGGCAUAUUGGGCUGUAAAGAAUUGCAACAUGGACCUCAAAGAAGCCGGACACCAUCGCAAGUUACAACUGCAAGAGCUUGAGGAAAUAAGACGAGAUGCAUAUGAGAACUCUUGGAACUACAAAACAAAGACCAAAGCCUCCCAUGACAAUCAUCUUUCAAGAAAACAAUUUGAGGUUGGUGAUAAAGUCUUACUCUUUGACUCUCGUCUGAAACUGUUCCCAGGAAAGCUACGGUCUAGGUGGAUUAGACCAUUCAUUGUACAACAUGCAUACCCACAUGGAGCUGUAGACAUCCGAAGCAUAGAAACUGGAAAAAUCUUCAAGGUGAAUGGACAUCGUUUGAAACCAUACUUUGAAGGGUUCGUAGUACAAGUGGUGGAAGAAAUUCCACUACAACAUAAUUCUGCCUAAAGUGAUCAUGCCAAGCACACCACACCCCAGGGAAGUACUCAGUUUCUUUUGUUCUCUUCUCUCUUCUCUUCUCCUCUUCUCUCUUCUUUUACAUUGAGGACAAUGCAUAAUUUAAGAGUGGGGGUGCAUAUAGCUUCUUCCUUUUCUUUUUCUUUUCUCCCUCUUCUCUUCUUCUGUGAUUUCUCAUGCUUUCAGAUUGCAAAAUUUUUCUUUUUCCUUUCGGUUUUAAGUUCCUUAGCCACAAUUGAAUUUUAAUUUAUGCUUUCAAUAAAACACACACAACCACAACCUUCUUCUUCUUUUUGUUUUGCUCUACUCAAACUAAUGAACUAUGUUGGAUGAGUUUUUCUUCCCAUGACCCCAUUGAUGUGAAAACUCUUUAAACUUAUGUUGAAUCAAUUGCAGUGAGUUGUAUUCAUAUUUGAGAAUUACCUUUUAAAUUGAAUCUUUGAGUUUGCCAUGGUGAAAAAUAUAUUGAUGACCCUCAAUUGAUUGAGAAUAAAAUAAAAUUGUGUGAAUAAACCUAAUGUGACUUGAUUUAGCAAUUGGUGUUGAUUUGUCCAAAUCAUUGAGAGAAAGAAAAUUCAGCAAAGGCAAAGCCCUCAAAAGCACAAAACAAAAAAAAAAAUAUAUUCCAAUGGACAAAAAGAUUAUGAAAAGAGCUAGUAGCCACUUGGAAAGGUGAUCAACUGAGUAACUAGGGGUGGGUAUCACAAAUAUGUACCUUCACGUCAAAAGGUUGGUGAUCUUUUCAAGUAAAAUCAAAGUGCAAAAAAGCCUGAAUAAAGUACUUCAAGGUAAGGGCAAUGUAACAGCCCGGAAACCGGUACCCUCUUUGUAACGGUCCGAACCGUUCGGCACUAGGAUCCAGAUCGGCUUAAGGCCGCCUAGACCCGUAGUAAGCCUAUCCUGAACUCUGUGUAGCUGUUCAAUUCCCAUACAUGAUCCGACUGGACUAUUAACUGUUAAAACUUUGCUUUUAAACAACCAGACUUAACCUUUCAAAACACUCUCUAUAGGUCCAAUCAUAUGAACCAAAAUGCUCAGAUAUACUAAUCUGAACUAGCCCUCUGGCUAUCUAUAAUACACCAGUGAUGCUCUACCAAGUAACCUCCAUACCCUAUGCGCUCUGCAGCAUAGAACCCACUCUGUAAGGGUCAGCAUAUCAUAAGUUAACUUGGCUACCAUAGAGUCACAGGAAUCAAACCUGGUUUUCUCUAGUGGUCUACUCUGUGGAUCACAGGAAUCAAACCUGAUCUUUCCUUUGCACUGGUCUUGGGUCAAGGGAAUGAAACCCUCUCUUCCCUCACAGUUAUCUUUCACUGGGUUUUAAAACACAACAUUGAGUAAGUCUGGUUUGACACAGUUCUCCUCAAGAAACUGAAAACAGGAUACAUGCAUAUACAAGGGAUAAACAAACACUAGGCAAAGCACAUUCUAAACCAUAUCAUACUGACUUACUAGCUAUUACAUGCUUUACAUAUAUUUCUUUUAUUUACAUCAUGUCCAUACUAAGCUAUUACACAUGCAGUCUUCUAGUCACCACUCUGCUGUUGCUGACUUUCCCUGCUAUACUGAACCUGCAAAACUGGGAUUAAGGGAAAGGGAUGAGCUUCUAAAGCCCAGUGAGUAGAAACACUGAAAAUAGUUCAGUCAUACACAUCUUGUAUGAAAAUGCAACACAACUCAUACAUUUCACAUCAUUGAUUGGACAUGACUUCAAAACUCCCUCGACGGGCUAUUGAUGUCGCCUGGGUCCAAUCAUCUGGAAUUAGACAUGACCUCAAAACUCCCUCUAAGGGCUAUUGAUGUCGCCUUGGUCCAAUUCCCACUAUCAAUGAUUAAUGCAAUGCACCAUCUUUGUGAUUCUAAUGCAAUCACCCUAAUACAUAUCAUAACAUUCAUGAUGCAUGAACUAUGCUAAAAAGCAUUUUGUUUCUUUAAUAAAAAGAUUAAGUUUAGUUCUACUCACCUCUGCUCCUCAAGCAGAAACCUGACUGACGCUGCAACUGCUAAUCCUGACAACCUCCCUGAACUGUCGGGUCCAAGCCUACACAAAUGGACUCGAAUGAGGUGUCAAACAUACUCUUAUCAACUCUUAAACAAUCCCCUAUAAUCNNNNNNNNNNNNNNNNNNNNNNNNNNNNNNNNNNNNNNNNNNNNNNNNNNNNNNNNNNNNNNNNNNNNNNNNNNNNNNNNNNNNNNNNNNNNNNNNNNNNNNNNNNNNNNNNNNNNNNNNNNNNNNNNNNNNNNNNNNNNNNNNNNNNNNNNNNNNNNNNNNNNNNNNNNNNNNNNNNNNNNNNNNNNNNNNNNNNNNNNNNNNNNNNNNNNNNNNNNNNNNNNNNNNNNNNNNNNNNNNNNNNNNNNNNNNNNNNNNNNNNNNNNNNNNNNNNNNNNNNNNNNNNNNNNNNNNNNNNNNNNNNNNNNNNNNNNNNNNNNNNNNNNNNNNNNNNNNNNNNNNNNNNNNNNNNNNNNNNNNNNNNNNNNNNNNNNNNNNNNNNNNNNNNNNNNNNNNNNNNNNNNNNNNNNNNNNNNNNNNNNNNNNNNNNNNNNNNNNNNNNNNNNNNNNNNNNNNNNNNNNNNNNNNNNNNNNNNNNNNNNNNNNNNNNNNNNNNNNNNNNNNNNNNNNNNNNNNNNNNNNNNNNNNNNNNNNNNNNNNNNNNNNNNNNNNNNNNNNNNNNNNNNNNNNNNNNNNNNNNNNNNNNNNNNNNNNNNNNNNNNNNNNNNNNNNNNNNNNNNNNNNNNNNNNNNNNNNNNNNNNNNNNNNNNNNNNNNNNNNNNNNNNNNNNNNNNNNNNNNNNNNNNNNNNNNNNNNNNNNNNNNNNNNNNNNNNNNNNNNNNNNNNNNNNNNNNNNNNNNCCAGUUUCGCCUGCCGAACCUGCAUGCAAAACCAUGCAACGUUCGGGGGCCGAACAUAAACUUCGGGGGCCGAACAUUGGGCACUUUCGGCGGCCGAACUGACCAUUCGGGGGCCGAACAUGACAGAAACUCCUUAGGCCACUUCUCCUCCAAACUUAACUCUUUUCUGAAUCACACCUUAUAACCACUUAAAAACCUUUUAGAAAACCUUCACUCUUACCCUUCUAGAACCUCUGACAUUCUGGAAUUCCACCGGAUGGUAAGAAUUCUGAUGCCUGAACUAGCCGGGUAUUACAGGCAAGUCAAUCCAAAAGCUAGAAAAAGUCUUAACAUAAUGUGCAUGUCUCUCUUGAGGAAAACAAAUCCUAGCCAUGGUAAGCAAAGGGAAACAAGGAAAGGAGGUAAGUAAUCUUCAUGCAUAUAUUCUUCACUGCAAUGAUUCAAAAUAGGUGUCUUGAGUAUGAGUUUAAGUGGAAAUAAGGAUCUAGAGCAAGGGAAGCUUAUUUGACUAUGUUUGUUUGCUUGAGGACAAGCAAAAGCUUAAGUGUGGGGGUAUUUGAUAGAGCAUAUUUUACCCCAUAUUUUCAUGAUCUUAUUGAUGUUUAUUUGCACCUAUUCUACCUAAUUUUGUGGUUUUAAUUAUGUUUUGCAAGUAUUAGGUGUGAAGAAACAAUUUGGAGAAAAUGCUCUUAAAAAUGCCAAAAGAAGCCAAAACUAGAGAAGCAACCUUCGGAGGCAACUUUCGGAAGCCAAAAAUCAGUCACCUUCGGCGGCAACCUUCGGCGGCCAAAAGAGGACUCCAGAGACGAAAGUCGACCACCUUCGGCGGCACCUUCGGCCGCCGAACCUUGUGUCCAGAG
rnacentral:lncRNA from 1 species